rnacentral:rRNA from 1 species
GAUGAACGCUGGCGGCGUGCCUAAUACAUGCGAGUCGAGCGAACAGACGAGGAGCUUGCUCCUCUGACGUUAGCGGCGGACGGGUGAGUAACACGUGGAUAACCUACCUAUAAGACUGGGAUAACUUCGGGAAACCGGAGCUAAUACCGGAUAAUAUAUUGAACCGCAUGGUUCAAUAGUGAAAGACGGUUUUGCUGUCACUUAUAGAUGGAUCCGCGCCGCAUUAGCUAGUUGGUAAGGUAACGGCUUACCAAGGCGACGAUGCGUAGCCGACCUGAGAGGGUGAUCUGCCACACUGGAACUGAGACACGGUCCAGACUCCUACGGGAGGCAGCAGUAGGGAAUCUUCCGCAAUGGGCGAAAGCCUGACGGAGCAACGCCGCGUGAGUGAUGAAGGUCUUCGGAUCGUAAAACUCUGUUAUUAGGGAAGAACAAAUGUGUAAGUAACUAUGCACGUCUUGACGGUACCUAAUCAGAAAGCCACGGCUAACUACGUG